CCUACGGGGGGCAGCAGUGAGGAAUAUUGGUCAAUGGACGAGAGUCUGAACCAGCCAAGUAGCGUGAAGGAUGACUGCCCUAUGGGUUGUAAACCUCUUUUAUAUGGGAAUAAAAUGUUCCACGUGUGGGAUUUUGUAUGUACCAUAUGAAUAAGGAUCGGCUAACUCCGUGCCAGCAGCCGCGGUAAUACGGAGGAUCCGAGCGUUAUCCGGAUUUAUUGGGUUUAAAGGGGGCGUAGGUGGAUUGUUAAGUCAGUUGUGAAAGUUUGGGGCUCAACCGUAAAAGUGCAGUUGAAACUGGCAGUCUUGAGUACGGGAGAGGUAGGCGGAAUGCGUGGUGUAGCGGUGAAAUGCUUAGAUAUCACGAAGAACACCGAUUGCGAAGGCAGUUCGCUGGACUGUAACUGACGCUGAGGCUCGAAAGUGUGGGUAUCAAACAGGAUUAGAUACCCUAGUAGUC
rnacentral:rRNA from 1 species